rnacentral:rRNA from 1 species
GACGAACGCUGGCGGCGUGCUUAACACAUGCAAGUCAAGGGGGCCCAGCAAUGGGCAACCGGCGAACGGGUGCGUAACACGUGAGCAACCUACCGAACUGUGGGGGAUAGCCGGCCUAACGGCCGAGUAAUACCGCAUACGCUCUCAGUGAGGCAUUUCAUUGAGAGGAAACCUACGGGACAGAUCGAGGGGCUCGCGGCCUAUCAGCUAGUUGGCGAGGUAACGGCNCACCAAGGCAACGACGGGUAGCUGGUCUGAGAGGAUGGCCAGCCACAUUGGGACUGAGAUACGGCCCAGACUCCUACGGGAGGCAGCAGUGGGGAAUCUUGCGCAAUGGCCUAACGGCUGACUCAGCGACGCCGCGUGUGGGAUGAAGCUCUUCGGAGUGUAAACCACUGUUGCCCGGGACGAAUAGCUCGAUUAAUCGAGCCUGACGGUACCGGGUGAGGAAGCACCGGCUAAC